rnacentral:rRNA from 1 species
GACGAACGCUGGCGGCGUGCUUAACACAUGCAAGUCGAACGAAGAGCGACGGAAGCUUGCUUCUCUCAAUCUUAGUGGCGAACGGGUGAGUAACGCGUAAUCAACCUGCCCUUCAGAGGGGGACAACAGUUGGAAACGACUGCUAAUACCGCAUACGAUCUAACCUCGGCAUCGAGGAUAGAUGAAAGGUGGCCUCUACAUGUAAGCUAUCACUGAAGGAGGGGAUUGCGUCUGAUUAGCUAGUUGGAGGGGUAACGGCCCACCAAGGCGAUGAUCAGUAGCCGGUCUGAGAGGAUGAACGGCCACAUUGGGACUGAGACACGGCCCAGACUCCUACGGGAGGCAGCAGUGGGGAAUCUUCCGCAAUAGACGAAAGUCUGACGGAGCAACGCCGCGUGAGUGAUGACGGCCUUCGGGUUGUAAAGCUCUGUUAAUCGGGACGAAAGGCCUUCUUGCGAAUAGUGAGAAGGAUUGACGGUACCGGAAUAGAAAGCCACGGCUAACUACGUG